AGCUCUGUAAGCGUAUACCAAAGUUGUUGCAGUUAAAACGCUCGUAGUCGGAAUUUGGCAAUUCCGGAUGUGUGCACGUCGUGUGCGCGCUUUGCGGGGAUUGCUUUUGUGGGUCUGCGUAGGAUGAGGCACGUUUAUUCGUGAACGUCUUCACGCAACCACUUUUUACUGUGAGAAAAUCAGAGUGCUCAAAGCAGGCAUUUGCCGUGAAUGUAUUAGCAUGGAAUAAUGAGAUAGGGCCACCGCGGUCUAUUUUGUUGGUUUGCACGUUGUGGUAAUGAUUAACAGGAACGGUUGGGGGUAUUCGUAUUCAAUUGUCAGAGGUGAAAUUCUUGGAUUUGUGGAAGACGAACUACUGCGAAAGCAUUUACCAAGGAUGUUUUCAUUAAUCAAGAACGAA
rnacentral:rRNA from 1 species